rnacentral:misc_RNA from 1 species
GGAUAGGGAUUCUUUUUGUUUUACGGGUAGCACGACAGGCUGUGUUUGACGGACAGAGCGAUCUUCCUUUGUUAUUCGGACGACCAUUUGAAGAAGCACGUGUUCCCCAAACGGACGGACAGAGAGGUACAUUAGAGAGACAGACAAGGUUACAGAAUAGUUGUUUAAGAUUUUAAAGACUGAAAAUUUAAGAUUUAAAGACUGAAGAAGAAAGAUCGGUAGCUCAGGACGUUGAAAAUCGAUUCUCGAUUUUCAGAUUUCAGAAUCGAUCCCUGAAUUAUCCAAUUAUUGAACCUUAUAUACCUGUCUGUAAUUAUGAGCUUCUCCAUUCAGGGGUUUUUAAAUUAGAAUGUUCUAAAACAGCGUUUUUUGUGGUUUUUUUUUUAGAAGGGAAAGAAAGAAAUGAAGUUUUUGAAUUU